CACGCCCCCACGGCCGGGCCGCACCUCGCCUUCUCAGGAGAUGCAUCUGGUUCGGAGUGGUACGGCGGUGGUGCUGUAGCCGGAGCUCUGCUUGGUGGCUAUCGGAAGAUUGUUAAAAGAGAGGUUACGUCUGGAGGCCACGCUGCUCGUACUUCAUACAGAAAACUACUGAAGGGGCUAUGAAAUCCUCCAUGAUUUACACUCCCUCUCAGUGCAUUAGGAUAUAGAUCUACUCGGCGCUAAAAAUACUGUGGAGUUUGUAACCGACGUGAAUAUAUGUGCGUUAUUUCAGAAAGUCUGUUAGAAAACUUGUCAACACGUUAUAAAGCAUAAACCAGGGCUCGGCCAUUAAAGGCGGAGAUCAGACACAGAAGCACACCGCAGGAAGCGCCGAGAAAAGUCCCCCAUUCAAAACACUGCUGGCCGCGAGCUGACACCCGGCGCGCACCGAAGGGCUCGGGGGAGCCGCGCUCCAUCGUUGUGGGGCACGGACGGGGCUGCGCGCCCUGGGCUACGGCGAAUAAUGGUCGCGGCGUCAGGAUUUAUCGCCUGGCAAAAGCCGCGUCAGGGCUUGUAAAUACAGUUAUUUGUGUCCACGGCUGCUCGUUAAACAGCCUCGCUCCUUCCACGAAAACACAGCAAAAUAAAAACCCACCUGCUUUAAUAAAGCCCGUGGAUACGGCGCUCCAAGAACGCCUCCCGACGCCUUUUCUCGGUCUGCUGUCGCCCUCUCGUCACAUGACAACGGCAGCGCGGGGGGCGGCGGGCAGUGCGCGUUAUUGUGAUCAAUGCCGACAGCAGCGCCCGUCCGGCCGAGGGGAGCGCUGAGCUGAGGUACGGCUCCGCUUCGCCCGCGCAGUUACUCCGUGCCAGCAUUGAGGGCACACUGCCGGCAGGACUCGCUCGCUGCCGUUCCCGAGAGCAUCCGUACAAUCAGCUGUCGAGUGCGUCUCACGGUGCGGCAGGGGCAGCCACCGCUGGAAUCUCAGCCGCGGUGCAGCGAGACGGCGGGCUGAGGUAUAACUAAGUGAUAAACUCGCUGCGAGUUUUUAAAGAAAACCGAUGGAACGCUGCCUGGUAUUUAUCAGAACCGGCCCCGGCCAGGUAUGCCGCCGUACGUGGGCUUCGGAGAGCGCACGGCUGCGUAAUGACUCGUAAUUAUUCAGAGCACUGUUAAAUGCGAACUGCAGAACGUUUCGGAGGUAAUAAAGUAAUUACUUCUGCACCGCAGUUACCUUGAAAAGCUUUACACGCUCCACGAUAUACAAAUCAAAUCGUAUGAACAUACCUGUGCCGCACACACCCGCUUAUUUAUGUGCGCUCCGCACGGAGCACAUGGCCGCACGGACACGGUCGCCCGCCCUGUGGGCAGCGUGAGCGCAGCACCUGGAGCUCCCCCGGCGCCGCGCCUCCUCCCCGCCUCGCGCCGAUCGGAC
ensembl:lncRNA